rnacentral:rRNA from 1 species
GAUGAACGCUAGCGGCAGGCUUAACACAUGCAAGUCGAGGGGCAGCAUAAACAUUGCUUGCAAUGUUUGGUGGCGACCGGCGCACGGGUGCGUAACGCGUAUGCAACCUACCUGUAACAGGGGGAUAACACUGAGAAAUUGGUACUAAUACCCCGUAACAUCAUUAAGGGCAUCCUUUUUGGUUGAAAGUUCCGGCGGUUACAGAUAGGCAUGCGUUGUAUUAGCUAGUAGGUGAGGUAACGGCUCACCUAGGCGACGAUACAUAGGGGGACUGAGAGGUUAACCCCCCACAUUGGUACUGAGACACGGACCAAACUCCUACGGGAGGCAGCAGUGAGGAAUAUUGGUCAAUGGGCGCAAGCCUGAACCAGCCAUGCCGCGUGCAGGAAGACGGCUCUAUGAGUUGUAAACUGCUUUUGUAUAAGGGUAAAAUUAGGUACGUGUACCUAACUGAAAGUACUAUACGAAUAAGGGUCGGCUAACUCCGUGCCAGCAGCCGCAGUAAUAC